rnacentral:rRNA from 1 species
CUUGCUUCUCUUGAGAGCGGCGGACGGGUGAGUAAUGCCUAGGAAUCUGCCUAGUGGUGGGGGAUAACGUUCGGAAACGGACGCUAAUACCGCAUACGUCCUACGGGAGAAAGCGGGGGAUCUUCGGACCUCGCGCCAUUAGAUGAGCCUAGGUCGGAUUAGCUAGUUGGUGAGGUAAUGGCUCACCAAGGCGACGAUCCGUAACUGGUCUGAGAGGAUGAUCAGUCACACUGGAACUGAGACACGGUCCAGACUCCUACGGGAGGCAGCAGUGGGGAAUAUUGGACAAUGGGCGAAAGCCUGAUCCAGCCAUGCCGCGUGUGUGAAGAAGGUCUUCGGAUUGUAAAGCACUUUAAGUUGGGAGGAAGGGUAGUAACUUAAUACGUUGCUACUUUGACGUUACCGACAGAAUAAGCACCGGCUAACUUCGUGCCAGCAGCCGCGGUAAUACGAAGGGUGCAAGCGUUAAUCGGAAUUACUGGGCGUAAAGCGCGCGUAGGUGGUUCAGUAAGUUGGAAGUGAAAUCCCCGGGCUCAACCUGGGAACUGCUUUCAAAACUGCUGAGCUAGAGUACGGUAGAGGGUGGUGGAAUUUCCUGUGUAGCGGUGAAAUGCGUAGAUAUAGGAAGGAACACCAGUGGCGAAGGCGACCACCUGGACUGAUACUGACACUGAGGUGCGAAAGCGUGGGGAGCGAACAGGAUUAGAUACCCUGGUAGUCCACGCCGUAAACGAUGUCAACUAGCCGUUGGAAUCCUUGAGAUUUUAGUGGCGCAGCUAACGCAUUAAGUUGACCGCCUG